UUCUUAUCAAGAGAAGCGGAGGGAACUGGCCCAAUGAAGCUUCAGCAACCAGCCGCCCGGCGGCCAGGUGCUAAAUCCAGCGAAUUGAGCAUUCAAUUCGGCAGAUAAGAA
rnacentral:ncRNA from 21 species